UAUUCAUCUCUUAAUAGAUUUAGACCAAGACCCCCUUCCCUAAUGGGCCUCUUCACCUUUUCCCAGUUCACCAAGUAAUAUUUUCUAUCUCCCUCGUCAUCACCCUAUAGAAAUCUACAUUAGAUUUUCUCAAUUUUUUUCUGCAAUGCUAACCGGAAUAGUUAAAAUAGAAAGAUAGUAAAUAGGUAAGUUUACAAGGGUACUCUUGAUCAAAGUGAGUCUAACCCCUUUAGAAAGGUAAGCGAUGUUUCACCCCACCAACCUCCUUUCAAAUAAGUCAUCCACGGGCUUCCAUGUAUUAACAUUUUUAUAUUUAGCUCCCAACGGAAUCUCAAGGUCCUUAACUGAUAAAGGAGUAACCUUGCAACCCAACAUCCGUGUCAACCUCCUUUCAUCCCCCGUAUAUGCAAUUCUAACAAUUUCCGUCUUUCUCAAAUUAAUUUUCAGACCCAACACCAUUUGAAAGUAUAGUAAAAUACAUCUCAAAUACAACAACGCAUUAACAUCAGGCUCACACAAAACAAGGGUGUCAUCAGCAAAAAAUAAGUGAGAGACCCUCACCCUUGUAUCCCCCUUCCCCAUCGAUAUACCCCACAACAAAUUAAGUUCCCCCGCCCGGUCCAUCAGUGUACUAAAUACCUUCAUCAUCAUAAGGAACAGUAGAGAUGAAAUAGGAUUCCCUUGCUGAAGAUAUCUAGAUACUUUAAAGAAUGUCGAUGGACCAACUUAAAAAUAAAUAAUAAUAAUAAUUGAAAAAAUAACUUCAAUAGAAAAUUCAUUUCAAACUAAGAUCUUCUUGUUCUACAUCAUUCUACCUCAAGUUAAAACUCUUCCUUGAGUUUUGAAAUGACAGAGCAUCAAGCUAACAAAGGCUUGAACAGGUUCAUCAAAAUCUUCAAGAACUCGAGUCUGUUGAUGAUCUUCACAUAAAAACUUAAAUUCAAUCAAAAUUAUAAAUUUCCUAGGAUCAUAAAACAUAAAUGGAAAAUGAAAUCAUCCCAAGAAACAUGUUUAAUAUAGUAAUAAUGAACGAGAAAAAAUUCAGUAGUAGCAUGAGUUGGAAAAAAAUUAAGGAAAGUAAUAAGUUGCUGAACAUCAUUAGCAUAAAUGAAAACAACUUUAACAAAAGCAAUUUUCUUGAGUAGCAACUGGUGGUGUUAUAGCCUUUCAAGUUUUUCAUUUUCUAACACAAUGAAUGUCAAGCCUACUCAUACACGGGAGCUCAGUUUUUAAUUCUUGCAGAACAUCUCAUUCUUUCUUAACAAGUCUAUUUUAGUUGACUGCAAUUAUCAUAUAUGCCACGAUUAUUGAGAGAACUUUUAACAAAGACAACUUAUUCAAUACAAUGAUGUUGAAUGUAAUUAAUUAUUGACUUAUCGUAGUACUUUAUGCAUCUAUAGGGACAAGAAACUUGGUACAGCAUAUCCUAUGUGGAUAGAUUAUAUGAUGAAUUGCACUAAAAGUUUUUUGGAUGCCAUGUCAAGUUACCACCUUUAUUGCUCAUAAUGAUGGUAAGGUGCAAAUCUAACCAGACAUCCAAAGAAACUGGUAGAAUACAUUGGAAAACUUCAAGACUUGGUUCGAAUCAGUUGAAAAAUCAAUCCACAAGGAUCUGAAUCGGAGUGGUCAAUCAAUCUAGUAAACAUGUGUGAACCAGUCAACUAAAAAUUCCUAUCACCAAUGUGCACGUGAGGUACUACUGCCGAUUUUAGUUCAUUGGGGAAGGUUGGUCUUCCUGUUACAAAUUUGUCUCAUCAUGAUGGUUCUAUCUCAGUGGUCAGUGUCACUUGUGACAGAUGGAAUCAAUGAUUGGAAUUUAAUCUAGGCUGGUCAGAGCUAUCUGGUUGUUAUUAUGGUGGCAGUGUCAUCCACUGCUCAGCGAUUGCUGACAGUUUGUGCUAAGGCUGAUAAUAACAGGGACAAAAGCCGCAUUUGGAAAGAAAGAAUAUGAGGAAGAAGACGAUGAUGACAUUGAUGAAUUCUCUAGCACACCGAAGGACACUAAUGGAAGUGAUGAAGAUUGGGCGGUUUGACAUGGUGAUAUAAAGUAGGAUUGAAGCAUUUAUUUGCUGUCCAUACAGCUAAUAAUUUCCUAGAGGAGCUUACACUUGUGAUUAGCCAGCCAUUGGCUUCGUAAUAUAAUAUAAUCUCAGAUCUGGUGAUCUUAUCCGUUGCUUGCUUAGAGGCUACUAGAGUUGGAAGCAGAACAGUGGAAGGAGUAGGAUUAAUAUGGGUGCAUAAAUGCCAUCACCUGAAUCUUUCUUCAACAAAUUUUGCAAGUCAAUAAGACAACGGUAAAAUCUGAAGCCUAUGAAUUUUUGAUAUGUAAAGAUAUUACCAACUUUUGCAAAGGUUUUCUUCUUUUAGCCUAUAUUACAACAGUUUAUAUGUACUUUUAUAUUAUAGUUUAUAUAUAAAAUUCCAGACUUCAUUGUCA